rnacentral:rRNA from 1 species
GACGUAGGGCGCGAGCGUUGUCCGGAUUUAUUGGGCGUAAAGAGCUCGUAGGCGGCUUGUCGCGUCGUCCGUGAAAACCUGCAGCUCAACUGCAGGCCUGCGGUCGAUACGGGCAGGCUAGAGUUCGGUAGGGGAGACUGGAAUUCCUGGUGUAGCGGUGAAAUGCGCAGAUAUCAGGAGGAACACCGGUGGCGAAGGCGGGUCUCUGGGCCGAUACUGACGCUGAGGAGCGAAAGCGUGGGGAGCGAACAGG